AGCAGCAUGGCGCAGUUGGAAGCGCGCGGGGCCCAUAUCUCUGAUUACGUAAUCGGAUUAUGUAAUCCUUGGUACCCCGAGGUCACUCGAUCGAAACGAGUUGCUGCUA